rnacentral:lncRNA from 1 species
ACAUAAAAAAUUCACCCACACAAAAAAAAGUGCUUCAUUGUCUAUCAAGAAUACAUGAUAAUUUAUUUUGUAAAUUUUAAGAACAUAUUAAAACUUAGAAAACUUAUUUCAAAUCACAAGCAAAUUUAUCUCUUUAAUCACAUUUAAAGUCAAGAAUGUAAAUAUUAAGAACAUGCUAAAAUAUUAGAAAACUUACCUCAAAUCGCA